CCCUUAGAUGUUCUGGGCCGCACGCGCGCUACACUGAUGCAUUCAACGAGUCUAAAACCUGCUCUGAUAGGGGUGGGUAAUCUUUUGAAUGUGCAUCGUGAUUGGGAUAGAUGAUUGCAAUUUUUCAUCUUCAACGAGGAAUGCCUAGUAAACGCAAGUCAUCAGCUUGCAUUGAUUACGUCCCUGCCCUUUGUACACACCGCCCGUCGCACCUACCGAUUGAAUGGUCCGGUGAAAUCUUCGGAUUGAGACUUUGUUUUCUUCACGGAAAACGCUGUUUUAAAAAGUUGAUUAAACCUUACCAUUUAGAGGAAGGUGAAGUCGUAACA
rnacentral:rRNA from 1 species